rnacentral:rRNA from 1 species
CUCCUACGGGAGGCAGCAGUGGGGAAUAUUGGACAAUGGGGGCAACCCUGAUCCAGCGACGCCGCGUGUGUGAAGAAGGCCUGCGGGUUGUAAAGCACUUUUAGUGGGGACAAAAAGCCAUCGGCUAAUACCAGGUGGUCUUGAUUUAACCCAAAGAAAAAGCACCGGCUAACUCUGUGCCAGCAGCCGCGGUAAUACAGAGGGUGCGAGCGUUAAUCGGAAUUACUGGGCGUAAAGCGUGCGUAGACGGUUUCGUAAGUCGGGUGUGAAAUCCCCGGGCUCAACCUGGGAAUUGCAUUCGAAACUGCGAGGCUAGGGUACGGAAGAGGGAAGCGGAAUUUCUGGUGUAGCGGUGAAAUGCGUAGAUAUCAGAAGGAACAUCAGUGGCGAAAGCGGCUUCCUGGUCCAGUACCGACGUUCAGGCACGAAAGCGUGGGGAGCAAACAGGAUUAGAUACCCUGGUAGUCCACGCCAUAAACGAUGAGAACUAGACGUUGAGAGGGUUAGCCUCCCAGUGUCGCAGCUAACGCGCUAA